rnacentral:lncRNA from 1 species
CGUUGAGGCGCCUGUUUCCCUUAACCCUUGUGCGCCCGCCCGCCUGUUCUCGGGGCGUGGGGGCAUGGAGACCCCGAGGGCUGUGUGUGUUUUUUUGAUGAUGAUGUUGUUGAUGUUGAUGAUGAUGAUGAUGAUGGUGAUGAUGAUGGUGAUAGUGAUAGGGUGUGGUGGGGGGUCGCUAGGACCCCUCGGGGCAUAUGUGUUAUGAUGAUGAUAGGGUGUGGUGGGGGGUCGCUAGGACCCCCUCGGGGCAUAUGUGUUAUGAUGAUGAUAGGGUGUGGUGGGGGGUCGCUAGGACCCCCUCGGGGCAUAUGUGUUGUUAUGACGAUGACGAUGAUGAUGAUGAUGAUGAUGAUUAGGGUGGGUGGGGGUCGCUUGUGUUAUUACAACGUCGGCGGCGUCUGGGAAGCGGCGGUGCGUGAAGCGGCGCAGUUGGGACAGUACGUGACGGCGCAGUUGGUGCACACGUACACUCGGCACUCGUGGCACAGGAUCUUGGUCUUGACGUCUUUGCUCCUGGGACACACGCGGCACCUUCGCCUCUUGACCGGAGAGGAGUCGUGCGGCGUAGCGGCGGUGGCGGUGGUGGUGGUGGUACGAGUAGUACGAGUAAUACGAGUAGUACGAGCAGCAGCAGCGGCAUCGGCAUCAGCAUCAUCAGCCUCAGUAGUAGUACCUCGGGCCGCGACUCGGCCUCCUCCUCCUCCUCCUCUCCUCCUCGCGCCAACGCCCUGGCUUCGAUCAUGGGGCACGCGAGCGCUUUGCCCAGCCGCUCGAGGAAGAGCCUUCGUUUGUUGAGCUUGCCCGCCAUCCAGUCGGGGUGAAUUUCCCUCCAGAGCACGAACGCGUUGUAUGCCGCCACGUCCACCAUGUUGUGGAAAAGGGCCACGGGCCACCUGCAGGUCUUUCUCCUGCAGCUGUACGUGCUCACGACCUUGUCCAGGUUGUCGACGCCUCCCUUGGUGCGGUUGUAAUGCAGCACCAAGGGAGGUUUGCCGCCGCCGCCGUUGCUGUUGCUGUUGCUGUUGCUGCUGCUGCGGCUAGGCCGGGGCUCGGGGCCGGAGCGGCUGCGGUGGUGGUGGUGGUGGUGGUAGCG